UCAGAAAAGUCAUUCUAAGAUGUCUUGAAACACUAAUAUGACAUAGACCACAUAAACAGUUUAGUUUUGCAGUGUAUAUGUUUCUCUUCUUUCAGAAGAAAUGUUAAAUGAACCUGUUACAUUUUGCUUUAAGGACUUAGACUUAGAAAACCCUUCAAACAGCAUGACUUCUUUAGACAGGUAGUAAUUUAUUGUUAGGCAUUCUGAAAUGGUUUGCCUGGCAGAAAUAAACAUACAAUAAAAUUAUCCAAAAAGCAUUCAGGAGAGUGUUUUGAUUCAAUGAUUGACAGGAAAAUUUAGAAUUUGAAUAUUUUGUGAAUUGUAGUGGCAUCUUAAGCAUUUGAAGGGAUAUGAUGACAAAUCAAAUGGAAAGGAAUUUUGAUAUUAGUAUGUAAAAAAACAAUGAGAACAUAUGGGCACAGGGAGAGGAACAUCACACACAGGGGCCUGUCAGGGGGUGAGGGGCAAGGGGAGGGAUAACAUUAGGAGAAAUACCUAAUGUAGAUGGUGGGUGGAUGGGUGCAGCUAACCACCAUGGCACAUGUAUACCUGUGUAACAAACCUGCAUGUUCUGCACAUGUAUCCCAGAACUUAAAGAAUAACUUU
rnacentral:lncRNA from 1 species